GCAGGAUCAACCAGGUAGCAUUCCUCACGGAACAUCGGCCCGCACGGCACAAGGCCGGAACGGGACCGAAUUCGUUCGAAAUAGGCAUUAAGCCUUUUUUGCGGACAAAUAGGAGCCGAUGACUCCGUGCCCUCAUGGUUUUCUGCAUCCCAGCGCCCGAUCGACAAUUCAUGGACCACGAAACGUGUAGAACGUGGGACACGAAUCUCGUUUCGAGUUUCACCCGCAGCCACACCGAAAUAACGGGCAACCUAAGGCGAACGACAAGUGAUUGACAGCCGAAUUCCAUCUAGUAGGUACGAAACACAGGAAACCGGGGAACGGCCAACAGAAAUUGUGCCAACAAUGAAGAGGAAAGCAAGAUAGGACGUCGCCGCUCAAGG
rnacentral:misc_RNA from 1 species